CAAAGCAUGAAGCCGCGGGAACGUAGGAAGCAUUCAUACACACACGUGCUGAAGCGCUCAUGAGCGUAGACGUAAACAAGAGAAGAAGGCGAACCGAGGGGCUCGACCGUUGUUAAUCAUGGCCACAUAAAGCCAACAGACAAAGAAUCCAAGGAAAGCAUCGGGAAAAUUAGGUGCAGUUGAAAUUGGAAUGUAGAAAU